AAAGAAAAAAAGACAUACAGAAGGAAAUCAGGGAAAAUGGGAAAAUGAAGGGAAUUAACAAAUUGCAAUAAUCUUUAAGAAGUAGAGUAUGAACAAUUUUCCUUUUCUAGGAUGAAAGCUACCAACAACUGAACUCUUAGAGUGAGUGAUGGCAGAAAAAAAUAGCAAUCAAGAAUAGGGGCAUGUUAGUUUUUAGACAUGUUUACAAAACUCUGCCUUUUAUUUCUUAAACCCAUAGGUCAACCACCCAUCAUACCUACAUUACCCCAUAUGACAAGUGGAUUUGUUGUAUGUUUCAAGUUUUUAAUCUUGGUGGGAAGGGGGAGGGCAGAGAAGUAUUUAUUGGUAAAAUAUCAUAAUAAAGGUUGAGCCUGUCAAUGAUUGUACCUAACAAUAAUAAAUAUGUGUAGGAAGUAAGAACGGCAAAAAUGAAGCCGGGUAGGAUACUGUGGAUAUGGUGACAGACAAGUAUCUAUACGAAAUCCUGAGAUAUUUGUCCUCCAUUUCAUAAAUUAAAGUGCCCCCUCUUUUGCUUUACAGAUAAGGAAACUGAGGUGCAUUAUAAUAGCAACAGCAGCUGAUGUGUAGUAGAUCCAUACCACAAGCCAGGUACGAUGUCAAACAUUUAAAUGUAUCAUUUAAUUUAAUUUUCAUAGAUCUCCUACAAGACAAGUGCUAUUAUUUUCAUUUUACAUACGAGAAAACUAAAGCUGACAGAGAUUAAAUAACUUGUCCAAGGUUGCAUAGUAACUAAGUGAAAGAGCCAAGAUAUGAACUCAGAUCUGUCUGAUUUCAAAACCCAGGCCCUUAAACACUAGGCCAGUGGUUUUUUAACCCUGAUUGCACAUUAGAAGCACCUGGCAAGCUUUUAAAACCUACUGAUACUCAGACCCUACCCCAGAACAAUUAAAUCAGAAUUUCUUGUACCUGGGCCCUGAUGUGGGUGUUUGUUUCAAAGCCUUUCUGGGUGACUGUAACAUAUAGCUUGGGUAAAGAAGAAUUGUUGGGUGUCUCCCAUGGAGGUCAGUAUAUCUGUGCCAAUAUGUGAGGUAGUACAAGACUCAAGUGUCCUCAGUCUGUCUGCAGUGGUUUUUCCCUUGCCCCAUCAUGUUCACUUUGACAUCUUUUUUUUAUUAUGAUUUUUGGAGAAGUAAUAUACAAGUGACAAUUUUUUUACAAAGCAUUGUCACAGCAGAACAUGGUCAUAAGUCCAUCAAAGAGAAACCUGUUCAUAUCUAUGUACAGGCUAUGAUGAAUGAAUACAAAGAAGACUAUGUUUAUUACUCUCAUCCCCAAAGGGAAGUAUAAAGCUGGCCUUAAAAGCUGUUCAUACCAAAGCUAAUCACUAAAAUUUGGAAUGGCUUCCUCCUCUCCUUUCACAAAUGCAAUAGGGUAGCCACUGGAUCUAAGGGGAAAAGAUCCAAUUACCACUCUUUACAAUGCUUUUUCACUUAGGAUCUCAAGACGACUGACAGUCAUUCAAAACAUAAAAGUAAAGUGAAAAUAUCUCUAGUAGAAGUGAAAAGAAAAUGUCUGUAGUAGGAAGAAGGCCUAAAUUUGUGUCUAUACUCUGCCACUUUACUGCAAUGACUUGAGGCCAAAAGUAAAGUGACAGAGUAUAGACACAAAUUUACUGCCAUGACUUGAGCCUUGAUUUCCUUUUCUAUAUGUACUUAAGCCAUAUCAUCCUUAGGGCAGUGAUCCAAAAAAUGUGGUCCCCAUCAGCAUCAUGUGGAAACAUAUCAGAAGUGAAAUUAUCAGUCCCUACCCUAGACUCUGAAUCAGAAACUUGGUGAAGGGGCAGUAAUCUGUGUCUUACCAAACAUUGCAAAUAAUUCUGACCACCUCCAGCUGACUCUGAUGUAUCCACCUCCAUGGGGUUGUUGUCUAAGAAUAAAAGGAGAUGGUCCAUAAAAUUGUUAUUUUUUUUACUAUCUACUGAAAUCAGAAAUUUCAAAAUUCUCUCACAGAGAUAUUUUAGAGAAAUAAUGUUACAGCCUACAUUAGUUAGAUAAUAACCUCAUUUCUGAAUUUCACUUUGAAUGUGUAGACGAGGCACAAGUCAACCAGAGGUUAUGCAAUUAGCUUGGAGUCAAAGAGAAAGCAAGGAGUAGAGCUGAGAAGGAAACCCCAGUGUGAACUUGAUUUUUAUUCAAUCAAACUGUUAAGGUACCAACCACGCACUUUCAUCUAUAAUCACAAUGAACCUUUUAAUAAACAUGUUUCUAUCCUCUUAGCUUAAAAAAUAUAACAGUAGCUUUUUGGAUUUUAAAACAGAUUGACUUCUAUACUUCUGGGCUAAAGGCAGCUCAAGAGUCAAUAAGAAUCACAAGCUUUCCACAGUGAGAAGAAAGUGCAAUUGCCCAGUCCUCUCUAUCUAUGAAGUGCAGACAGUAUUCCUCUUCCUCACCUCACACUUUCGAUUAUUGCAAUGGUGGAAACCAUGAUAAAUAAAAGCGCUUAUCUAGUGGUUUGGUUUUCACUAAAAUUACAGACUUCUGUAACAUUAUUUGGAUACCAUAAAACACAAACCAAAUUUUAGGAGAUGCUUUAGGGUGUUUUUUCCCCUGCCCUCCUGUCGGAAGCCCUCUAUCUUUUUACUGUAAUUUAUCUGAUAUAGCUACCAAGAUGCUUGAUACUUUUACAUGCAAGGGUGCUGAAAAACAAAGAGCGAGGGAAUGGGUUGUUAAUGAAAUUCUCUGAUUGUAAAAAGCACUCUGGAAUGAUCAGGUGGUAAAUAAUAAUAAGAGGAAAUAACAUAAAGUGCUUAGGUGCUACAGCGAUAGUCACCAUAUAAAUGCAGAAGAGAUCAGACAUGAAUAGAAUUUGCAUUUUAUGCAGCUGCUGUGUGUGUAUAUAGAAUAUACAGUAGCUAAUUUUUCAAUAAUGCUGGUAAAAUAUUGUUCAAAAUCUAUUCUUGCUGUCUUCUCACUUUAAAAGGCAUUAUAUAGAAAAACACCCAUCUGUCCUAGUGCAAUGGUGAAUGUGUGCAAAGAGCCUAGAAAAAGAGCCUCUUUGCAUACGUGAAAAAAAAGAACUCAAAUAAAAGGAGAUAAUGAAGAAGAGACAAUAGUAACACUAUUAGAACAGCUAUGCAGACAAGCACAAAGGUGAUCUUUGAAAAACAUCAGGGAUAAAUAACUCUGUUAAUGUGUGGCAGAGAAACUACAGUUAAGACAUACAGUAAUAUACCAAAAAUAUAGACAUGCUUUUAUUUUGUCUACUGGGCUAUUGUGAUAGUGAUGGUUGUUUUUGAAUAGAAAGGAAGAAGAGAGUGGGAAGUAGGAUUUCGUUGUUUGUUGUUACUGUUGCUGCUCAGUUUAGAACAACAACAUCAACUACACACCAGACCCGUCCAACAGUUCCACAAACAAUGCUUACCAUGAAUCUGCCCUCAAUUUUCUUGUUGUUAUUUUCCCUUAAUACUUAUUGAUAACCCAAUGCCCAUUCAUUAGAUAUGCUAAAUCCUCGUCCAUGGUUACUCUCCUUUGGAAGAGACUGAGAAGAUGCUAAGAGGGAGUUCCUCUUACACAUAAGGGAAGAGUCUGUUUAGGAAUCUGAGAAAGCAGAGGCCAGGAUAAAGAGACCACUAGUCAAUCAAUACUAAGCACCGAAGACUGAAUCACCCAAAGAUACAAUUAUCUCCCUUCCUUUGUUCUGUCUCUUAGUCAAAUAAAGGAUUGUUUGUAGAACCUUUUCUGUUCCUGAUCUCUAAAAAGCAGGACUGGACUUGCACAUCCAACUAUAAUUCAAAAUAUCUCACACUUCCAACUUGAAAGAAGACAUAAACUGUUUCAAAGAAACUCAGAGAGAGCAAAUGCAUAUUCACAAAACUUACACUUAUUCCUAGAAUAGGAAAAUGGAGAGAGAACUAACCACAUAAGAAAGGGCUAAUCAUAAUAAUAAUAGUAAUAAUGAUGAUAUCAAUCAAUACUUUGGAUUCUAGAGAAUGAUUUAUCACAAAAAUUCACCUGUAUUAAGGGAGACUCCAGGACAAGGAGGUCAUUAAGCUACAUUUCCAUCUUCAGGAUUCAGCCAAACUCAGACUCUCCGGAAAGCUGUAAAUGCUCUCAGAACAGACUUUAGUAAUGAGAUUGGAAUGAACACUGGGCCUAUGGCGUAAAAGCAUCUCCCUGCCCCUUGUUCUAAAAGUUAACUAUUAAACCAUGUGCGGUUCAUCCUGAUUUGGUUUACUCAAUUCUAGAAACAAGGACAUGCUGAUCAGAUUGCCCUGGGCAAUUGAAUACCUACUGAAGCCUUUGGGAAGACAGUGUUCUUCCCACCACCCCUACUUAAAAGGCUUCUGUUACCAGACUAUCAAUUCUGUGUUACUGGUGAAGGAUAGAAAGUAUCUUCUUUUGAAGGACAAGUUUUUCACUCACUGAGUUUUCUGCUUUGGGUAUAUACUCAACAUGUUAAGUGCUUAAUCUUUUUUCCCCCAUUCCCCUUUUUCUACUGUAGUGUGUUUUGUUUGUUUGUUUUUUGUUUUUGUUUUUUUUUAAUUAUUUGAAGAGUCACUUGUCUGGAUGCUUCGUUCUAGUAGAAUUUGGCUGAUUUUUUUCCCAACACCUUUUAGUGGAAUGCAGUAACAGAUGCAUGGAGGGAGAAUUGGUCUUAACAGUAUUUUUAGGUUUCAUCUGUGUCAGAGAGAGAUCUCUUCCCUUUAUUGAUUUCUUGCAUACACUAUCCACACUACAGCUUGAAACAGCUACAACAGUGUUUGAAAAAUUGGUUGUUCCUCACUGUUCAAACCAUUUUUCAAAACAGUCGUUACAAGCUUCAUUUUACUUUCUGUUAUAAGGAGGGUUUUGUUUGGGUUGGUUUCAUUUUCCUUGUGGCGUCAUGCUAGCAGAGAAACACAGUCAGGAAUAUAGCUUUUAAAUGUGGUAUGAUUGGGAUUAUAACCAUAUCAGAAUCUAUAUUGAAAAUUUAUUAGAUUGAGCCAUGUGCAGUUAAAAAGAAAGAAGUCAGAAGUCUUCGAUAUUUUUCACAAACAUGAACACCAUCUCAUGCAAACGUUAAAAUUCACCAAACAAAUGAUACCCCACUGUUGGAAAGAUAUUUUCUCAUGUCAACAACUCAGGAAGGAGUGGGGAGGGAAUGGGACAUAUACAUGUAAAAUUUUUCUCUAUAUUUUUGAUAAUAACUCUCUGUGAAUAUGUUUUACUACCUAGGUAAUGCUUAUAUUUGUAAAAACAUAUAGUUAUAUCAGAAAGUCAAUUUUGAAUAAACCUGAGAAUGGCAAACUAUAAUUUUUAAAAUACUAACCUUUUAGAACUGUUCAUUUUCACUUUUAUUUCCAGGACUCACUAUCUUAAAGAGAAGAAUAAAAGUUGAAGAUCCUUGGGAUUAACAGAAAGGGUGGAAAUAGCCAAAUGUAUUCAUAUUUUUGGCCAGGCGCAGUGGCUUAUGCCUGUAGUCCCAGCACUUUGAGAGGCUGAGGCAGGCAGAUCACCUAAGGUCAGGAGCUCGAGACCAGCCUGGCCAACAUGGUGAAACCCUCUCUCUACUAAAAAUAUAAAAAAUUAGCCAGGCAUGGUGGUACACACCUGUAAUCCCAGUUCGGGAGGCUGAGGCAGGAGAAUUGCUUGAACCCAGGAGAUGGAGGUUGCAGUGAGCAAAGACUGAGCCACUACACUCCAGCCUGGGUGACAGAGCAAGAUUCUGUCUCAAUAAAAUAAAAUAAAAUGACGUUCAUAUUUUUAAAAUACAGCAAUAUUCAUUUGUUUAAAAAACAAGAUUGAGAGCACAGUUAUAUAGUGACUUUUGAUACAUACACAAUAAAACUUAUUGAAUUUUCAAAAAGUGAGAAAAAAACUACUCUGCUUUAAAUUUAAAGUAAUAAAUAAUAAUGAAGACAUAUCAACAUUGGUAACUGUCAGAGUGAGAAAAGGAAAUUGAACAUUCAAUGUGACCAGAGGAAGGGUGAACAUGGGAGAUACUGCCCAGGAAAAGUGCUCAUGAUGAGUAAUUCAAAGACCCAGAAUCUUAACAUAAAUUUUUUAUAGUUUUCUUUUCAAGGGACUAUUUGAAAAAAGAUGGUUCUGGGGUUUUUGUUGUAGCUUCUUUCUUUCUUUCUUUCUUUCUUUCUUUCUUUCUUUCUUUCUUUCUUUCUUUCUUCUUUCUUUCUUUCUUUUCUCUCUCUCUCUCUCUCUCUCUCUCUUUCUUUCUUUUGGCUUUGUUGUAGCUUCCUCUUUCUCUCUCUCUCUUUCUCUUUCUUUCUAGCUAAAAUUUCACUCUAAAUUCCAGGAAAUUUUCACGAGAUCCUUUUAGAGGUUCUGACACAAAUAAAGUAAAAGUAAACCUGUUGUGGCAAAGUUACUAACUAGUCUACACUAACUCUCAGUCCUUGCUCAAAGCAAAAUAAUGGAGUUUGGGGUGCAAUCUGGUGAACUCAAUGGUCCAACUGCAUAAAGGCAAAGAGGAAAGCCAGGCUUGGGCACUUCUGUAGAAAAUGAAGAUUACUGGUUUGAAGGCCAGUCUUCUCACUGCUUCACUGUAUGUGGUGACUAUUGUUAAAUUAGAUAUCCCUAUUCUGAUGAAAAGGCAAUGUGCUAUUUUUGGGGUAUACAUGUUUCAAGCUGUAAACUGCAAAGUGCUGUAUAAAAGUAAAGUGGUGUUAAUGCCUCAUAAGAUAAACAUAUAGAUUGAUGAUGGAGGCAUUUAAAAUGCUUUAAUUGCCCACUUUAAUAAAGCACUAAAUAAUUAUAAUAAAAACAAUUCUUCAGAAAACUUGGUGGGAAAAAGGCCUACAGGAUAUGUUUGUUAAGAAUAAUUAGAUUUUAGUUUUGGAGGAAAAGGUAGGACAAGUCACAGGAGGCACUCGAUGAGAAGUCAGGAAUGCCUAGUACAUAAGCCACACAUAUUAAGUUGUAGUUUCUUCAAAACUGACAAUAACAUGUCCUCCAAAACCAAAGGGAAAAUCAAAGGAUGUUGCCUAUACUUAUGUACCUUUUGCUACUGGAGAUCUAGUCAAUCUAUAGCCUUGGAUUCAUAGUUCUAUAACAUGACAACAUAGCAAAAUCUCACCAACACUUUGUUUUAAAGAAAUUGGCAGCUGGGUGCGGUGGCUCAAGCCUGUAAUCCAUGAACUUUGGGAGGCCAAGGUGGGCGGAUCACAAGGUCAGGAAUUUGAGACCAGCCUGGCCAACAUAGUGAAACCCCGUCGCUACUAAAAAUACAAAAAAGUAGCUGGGUGUGGCGGUGGAUACCUGUAAUCCUGGCUACUUGGGAGGCAGAGGCAAGAGAAUCACUUGAACCCAGGAGGCGGAGCUUGCAGUGAGCCGAGAUCGCACCAUUGCACUCCAACCCAGGCAACAGUCCGUGACUCCAUCAAAGAAAGAAAGAAAGAAAAGGAAGGAAGGAAGGAAGGAAGGAAGGAAGGAAGGAAGGAAGGAAGGAAGGAAUAAAUUGGCUAUGCCUCCAAGUGAAUUAUACUAUAAACUUCUUUCCCAUUACCAAUAAUGUAAAUAUAUAACCAGGCACAAGCAUGUGGAAAUGGAGAAAGGAUGAACGUUAGUCUUAGAAACUUUGGUUUGUAUCCCAUUUCCACCUUUUAACAAGUCAUUUAGCCUCUCUAGGUCAAGAUUUUCUUACCUAUUAAAUGAAGAUAAUGGUACCCAUCUCACAAAAUUGUUUUAAGAAUUAAAUGUAAAAUGCUUGGCACAGAGAGGUCACUCAAUACAUGGCAGCCAAAUCACCACAUGCAGUAAAACCCAGAUAAAAUAUAUUCAGCCAGGACUGUUGCUCUGUGAGUAGGUCUGGUAUCCAUGCUACAAAAUCUAUUAAGCCUAAAUAAUUUGGUCAUUUUAGCAAUACUCUUUAGAGAUUUUUUAAUGACAUUUCCCAAAGGUCAAGCUAGCUUAUGGUUAUGUGGAACUGCUGCAUUUAUAAGAGAGUUUAGUGGGUUCAUAAAAUAAGUCUUGCUCCCCAAAUCCGGAUCAUAAAGACCUUCUAUCAUAAAGGAUAAGAGUGACAUUUAAAAAACCAGUUUUUAAAAAAUGAUGGUAGCAAAUAAAUGCAGAUGAUCAGGAUGACAGCAAGUACCAAGUCAAAGCAACACGGAGAAGAAAUAGGCCCUAGCCUGCAGGUUACACUUUAAACACUGAGGAGAAAUGGGAGAGUAAAGAGCAACACUGAGCCUCAUCGG
rnacentral:lncRNA from 1 species